rnacentral:rRNA from 1 species
UACGUAGGGUCCGAGCGUUGUCCGGAAUUAUUGGGCGUAAAGAGCUCGUAGGCGGUUUGUCGCGUCUGCUGUGAAAUCCCGAGGCUCAACCUCGGGCCUGCAGUGGGUACGGGCAGACUGGAGUGCGGUAGGGGGAGAAUGGAAUUCCUGGUGUAGCGGUGGAAUGCGCAGAUAUCAGGAGGAACACCGGUGGCGAAGGCGGGUCUCUGGGCCGAUACUGACGCUGAGGUGCGAAAGCGUGGGGAGCAAACAGG